rnacentral:rRNA from 1 species
GAGUCGCCCCAAGCGUUGUCCGGAAUCACUGGGCGUAAAGGGUCCGUAGGCGGCAUUGUUAGUCCUCUGUUAAAUCGUUUUGCUCAACAAGACGUCCGCGGGGGAAACGGCAAUGCUCGAGAACACAAGAGGUGUACGGAACUCACGGUGUAGGGGUGAAAUCCGUUGAUAUCGUGGGGAACACCAAAGGCGAAGGCAGUACACUGGUGUGUUUCUGACGCUGAGGGACGAAAGCGUGGGUAGCGAAUGGGAUUAGAUACCCCAGUAGUCAACGCCCUAAACKAUCCUAACUAGCUUUUCGGAGUAUCGACCCUCUGGGAGGCGAAGCUAACGCGUUAAGUUAGGCSCCUGGGUAGUACGAGCGCAAGCUUA